AUGUUCCUGAGGUAGACAGACAGACAGACAGACAGACAGACUGUUGCGAGGUCUGCGGGGACGUCGGAAGGCGCGGUGAUCCGCGGGGCUGGCUGGUGUCAAUGUGGACUCUCCUGUUGGGGCCUAUCCUGGAGUUGCAGAGAUACUUCCCCUUGUCUUUUUGAGCCUUGCUUUUCAUGAGUGUUCCCUAGUUCUUAUAAAAUAUGAGAAAUGAUGAUAUUUAUGCUGGGAAGAAUUAAGUCUCGUUCUUCCCAAGCUCAUCUCUGUGGCCAGAGGUGGCAAGAGUGAAGCUCAAGUUUUGCUUGUGGAGCGCUCAGCAGUAACAGAGAAGGAAGGUAAGCUGAAUGACGAAUUUUCAUUCUGGUCUCUGCUCUAACGAUGGCAGUGUCCCAGUCCUUGGUGAAAUGCCAAAUUGCAAGCUUGAGGAAAAGCAAGCCAGGCAGAGAAUCAUUGAAUGGCCUGGGUUGGAAGGACCUUAAAAGUUACCUAGUUCCAACCCCCUGCUGCGGGAAAAGAUACCUCCCAGUGACUACGCAUAGGGAAAAUCCCCAAGGUGGGCAAACCUCCUUUAUCUCGAAAUGUUAUCCUUAUCAAACCCUACAGGACAGAGCUGGGAAGGAAAGCAACCCAGUCCGGCUGGUUGAUGGGAUGACCCCUUGGAGAAGGAAAGCUGGGAACCCAUUGUGCCCAAAUCCCAACCACGAAAUCAGGCUGAACGUCUCUCCAAAGAGGCUCCGAGUGCCUCUGGUGGCACGCACGGGGGUGAUGCCCACGCUCAUCUCACCGCUCCAGGCACUUGGUGUAGUGCGUGCCGUUCCAGCCGCAGUUCCCGCAGCGAUCCCCGCGGACGUUCACGUCCCUGAAGCAGCUCAGCGGGGCACGUGGCUACGUGGAGAGAUUUGCUGCAAGGAAACAAUCCGUGAUCAGAGAACGGACCAUGCUCGUUUAUCCGGAAUAAUCUGGAGCAGAAGACUGGAAUAAAGUCUGCAAAUCUCUCCAAAGCCUAUGUAUUUUUUUUUUUUUUCACUAAAACAAAUGAGCCAGUAUAUCUUAGAUUUAUCCUGCAACCAGAAUCCCUACCAUUACGCUCCGUAUUAACAGUAAUGAUCCUUGUCAGACGUCAGACACAACUCCCAGAGCUGGCUUUGAGCAAGGCAGAACCAUUCCCAACCCAGGGAGCUCCCAGUUCUUUCAGAACAUCCUUGUAUUUGCCAAACAUUGCCUACAUCGUGACCAACACCACCACCUUCGUGUGCAAGGGUUAUGGCUCUGCAGAUACCCAACUUCUUAUAGAUGUGGUAGAGCACGAAGGAACGUGGUUUUAUUUGCAGGAGACUUGUGUGUGCUCAUAAUGAAACCUCCAGCUCCGGUCCUGGUGGUCACUGCUGUCAUUACCGAGGAGGAAGUGCAGAGCACAUCUGCUCUGCCGCGGCCUUGGGACGUGACUUGGGGAAGUUUGGUGCUUCCUACAGAACUGAGACAGCCCCAAAGAGGAUGUGGGCAUGCACUGCGCGUCACGUCAGAACUGGGGGAAAUGCAGAUGCACAAAUUGAGAGCACUGCGGCUUUCAGCUGCACGGGAGGGGUCUCAGUGGCUGUUUUAUGCACACCUUUGUUUCUGGGUCUUCUCUACUGACAAGUGCCAUUCCCGUGUCCCACUGAGAUUCACCUAAAUGGCACUGCAGCAGCUGGUGCCUGAGGAAACCACUUUUCUGCUGCCCUAGCUAUUGUAAAUAAAAACUUUAUACUGUCUUUUAGAUAUGUUGUUUCACCUA